GAUGAACGCUGGCGGCGUGCCUAAUACAUGCAAGUCGAGCGAACGGACGAGAAGCUUGCUUCUCUGAUGUUAGCGGCGGACGGGUGAGUAACACGUGGAUAACCUACCUAUAAGACUGGGAUAACUUCGGGAAACCGGAGCUAAUACCGGAUAAUAUUUUGAACCGCAUGGUUCAAAAGUGAAAGACGGUCUUGCUGUCACUUAUAGAUGGAUCCGCGCUGCAUUAGCUAGUUGGUAAGGUAACGGCUUACCAAGGCAACGAUGCAUAGCCGACCUGAGAGGGUGAUCGGCCACACUGGAACUGAGACACGGUCCAGACUCCUACGGGAGGCAGCAGUAGGGAAUCUUCCGCAAUGGGCGAAAGCCUGACGGAGCAACGCCGCGUGAGUGACGAAGGUCUUCGGAUCGUAAAACUCUGUUAUUAGGGAAGAACAUAUGUGUAAGUAACUGUGCACAUCAUGACGGUACCUAAUCAGAAAGCCACGGCUAACUACGUGCCAGCAGCCGCGGUAAUACGUAGGUGGCAAGCGUUAUCCGGAAUUAUUGGGCGUAAAGCGCGCGUAGGCGGUUUUUUAAGUCUGAUGUGAAAGCCCACGGCUCAACCCGUGGAGGGUCAUUGGAAACUGGAAAACUUGAGUGCAGAAGAGGAAAGUGGAAUUCCAUGUGUAGCGGUGAAAUGCGCAGAGAUAUGGAGGAACACCAGUGGCGAAGGCGACUUUCUGGUCUGUAACUGACGCUGAUGUGCGAAAGCGUGGGGAUCAAACAGGAUUAGAUACCCUGGUAGUCCACGCCGUAAACGAUGAGUGCUAAGUGUUAGGGGGUUUCCGCCCCUUAGUGCUGCAGCUAACGCAUUAAGCACUCCGCCUGGGGAGUACGACCGCAAGGUUGAAACUCAAAGGAAUUGACGGGGACCCGCACAAGCGGUGGAGCAUGUGGUUUAAUUCGAAGCAACGCGAAGAACCUUACCAAAUCUUGACAUCCUUUGACAACUCUAGAGAUAGAGCCUUCCCCUUCGGGGGACAAAGUGACAGGUGGUGCAUGGUUGUCGUCAGCUCGUGUCGUGAGAUGUUGGGUUAAGUCCCGCAACGAGCGCAACCCUUAAGCUUAGUUGCCAUCAUUAAGUUGGGCACUCUAAGUUGACUGCCGGUGACAAACCGGAGGAAGGUGGGGAUGACGUCAAAUCAUCAUGCCCCUUAUGAUUUGGGCUACACACGUGCUACAAUGGACAAUACAAAGGGCAGCGAAACCGCGAGGUCAAGCAAAUCCCAUAAAGUUGUUCUCAGUUCGGAUUGUAGUCUGCAACUCGACUACAUGAAGCUGGAAUCGCUAGUAAUCGUAGAUCAGCAUGCUACGGUGAAUACGUUCCCGGGUCU
rnacentral:rRNA from 1 species